rnacentral:rRNA from 1 species
UAGAGUUUGAUCCUGGCUCAGGACGAACGCUGGCGGCGUGCUUAACACAUGCAAGUCGAACGGACUGGCAGGGCUUGCUCUGCUGGUUAGUGGCGAACGGGUGAGUAACACGUGAGCAAUCUGCCCCUGACUCUGGGAUAACUUCGGGAAACCGUAGCUAAUACCGGAUAUGACGCGCGAAGGCAUCUUCUGCGCGUGGAAAGAAUUUCGGUCAGGGAUGAGCUCGCGGCCUAUCAGCUUGUUGGUGAGGUAAUGGCUCACCAAGGCGACGACGGGUAGCCGGCCUGAGAGGGUGACCGGCCACACUGGGACUGAGACACGGCCCAGACUCCUACGGGAGGCAGCAGUGGGGAAUAUUGCACAAUGGGCGAAAGCCUGAUGCAGCAACGCCGCGUGAGGGACGACGGCCUUCGGGUUGUAAACCUCUUUUGUCAGGGAAGAAGCGAAAGUGACGGUACCUGAAGAAAAAGCACCGGCUAACUACGUGCCAGCAGCCGCGGUAAUACGUAGGGUGCAAGCGUUGUCCGGAAUUAUUGGGCGUAAAGAGCUCGUAGGCGGUUUGUCGCGUCUGCUGUGAAAACCCGAGGCUCAACCUCGGGCCUGCAGUGGGUACGGGCAGACUAGAGUGCGGUAGGGGAGAUUGGAAUUCCUGGUGUAGCGGUGGAAUGCGCAGAUAUCAGGAGGAACACCGAUGGCGAAGGCAGAUCUCUGGGCCGUAACUGACGCUGAGGAGCGAAAGCGUGGGGAGCGAACAGGAUUAGAUACCCUGGUAGUCCACGCC